rnacentral:rRNA from 1 species
AAAUAGAACUUUGCAGAGAGAGUUAACAGGGCGUGAAACCGUUAAUUGGCAAACGAAUCGGAGCCACGAAGUCGUUUCGUUGUUGAGUUGAGCUAAGUUCAGCGAGCAUCCGCAAGGGUGAACGUGUACUCUUAAGUUUAACCAACCUUGUAAGCGUACACUGCAACUAGUUAGACGAUUGGUUAUGGGCACAGUGGGCGCUAGUAGUGGCGUUGUAAUGCCUCGGUGUUAUAAUGUUGCUAAGCGUGUUGCAAGUGAACUAUGACCAAAUACUGACUAGCGAAAUGAAAAUCGUCCACAUGGACGUUAGAGACAAAGCAGCUAGUUGGACGAGCGUCUACGCGACCAACUGUUGGGUUUAAGCUCGGCGCUUUCGAAUUUAGACUUGCUUGCUACCAGUGGGGCAACUCCUGGUGCUUGUACAGCUUCUAUCUAAUCAAGCGUUGACUUGAUUCAGCAUUGUUUGAGCGCGACUCGAUUGGGCGUUCGUUCAAUCUAGUUUGUAAUUUGAAUUGGCAGUGAGUAGGUCGGCUUUCCGAACGACCCGUCUUGAAACACGGACCAAGGAGUCUAAUUAGGCAUCGAGUCGAUCGGUCUUGAAUAGGCCAGACAAGGGAGUUCCUCUAGAGAAGGCGUAGAGACGUGUGAUCGUUGGGGCAACAACAGCCUCUUCGCGCAACACGUGCCUGUUCGAUCGUUGUGUAGCAAUAACAACUGGGCGGAGCAAAGAGAUGCCUGAUUGGGACCCGAAAGAUGGUGAUGCUUGGGCAAAUUGAAGCCAGAGGAAACUCUGGUGGAGGAUUUAGCUGACGUGCAAAUCGAUCGUCAGACCUGAGUAUAGGGGCGAAAGACUAAUCGAACCAUC